UACAGGGGGUGCAAACGUUGCUCGGAAUUAUUGGGCGUAAAGCGCGCGUAGGCGGCCGCUUAAGUCGGAUGUGAAAGCCCCUGGCUCAACUGGGGAAGUGCACCCGAAACUGAGUGGCUUGAGUACUAAAGGGGGUCGCGGAAUUCCCGGUGUAGAGGUGAAAUUCGUAGAUAUUAGGAAGAACACCAGUGGCGAAGGCGGCUCACUGGUCCGGUACUGACGCUGAGGUGCGAAAGCGUGGGGAGCAAACAGG
rnacentral:rRNA from 1 species